ensembl:snoRNA U3 Small nucleolar RNA U3
AAGACUGCUUUCAGGGACCCUUUCUAUUGUUCUUUACUGGAGAAGUUUCUCUGACUGUGGGAUACGCAAACCACGAGGAAGACACAGAGUCCUCUCCUGAGCGUGAAGCGGCUCUUGAUGUUGCUUUGCUGUAAUGCCACUGGCCAUUGAUGAUCCUUCCUGCCCUCCUUCGGGGGACUGGAGGGAGAGGAUGCAGUCUUAAGAGGC